UUUAUUAGUUCUAACAUUUAGAAAAAUUUAUGGAGUCUUUAAAGUUUACUACGUGCAUGUGAUCUGCAAACACAGAAAAUCUAACUUCUUCCUUUCCUUUCCUUUUUUUUCCUAAGAGACAAUGUGUUACUCUGUCACCCAAGCUGAAGUGCAGUGGCAUGAUCGUAACUCACUGCAGCCUCAAAUGCCUGAGCUCACGCCAUCCCAAUGCCUUAGCCUCACAACUACUCAGACUACAGCUUACUGUGUCCUAGGCAUGAAUCCAGAAACUAUCAAAACAGCAUGGAACCAGAGAUGUCAGAAGAAGGUGAAUGACUUCACUUGUACAUCAGUACAUUUCCAGGAGGUUUAUAAUUCCAGAAGGUUGAAGGAGCUGAUACAAUAAGUGAUGUAAUAAUUGUUAAUGGGAAAAGUCAUAUGAAGCAGGUCCUCUAAAUAAGAAUAUGGACUGGAUUUUUUCCACAGAUUCAGACUUCAAUGUUAAUGUGGUAGAGGAGCAGCACUAAUCAUGCUGAUGAAGACAAAAAUCCAUCAGAAUGUUAGAGCACUAAAAUGGGAAGAAAUGGAUUCUUGAAAAAAAAAACAAACAAAAAAAACCAUAGUGCGAUGUUGCCUCACAUCCCCAGUCUUUUUGGGCUUUUAAGUUGUUCCAUAUGUGUGAGAUGAACUUCAGUCUUGUUUAAGCUAUUGCAUAUUUUUCAGUAAUAUAGACUUAGCCUUUAUCCUAAUAAAACUUUUUAGAAAAAUAUGGACUGAUUGUUACUUUUAAAGCGGAUUGGGUAAAUAGAAUUACUAUUAUGAAAAACGACUCAUUUAUCUUUAAUUAGAAUGGAUAGCAGAUAUGGACUGUGUGUAAACUACUCAGUUAUAACAUUGUCUUUUUUUUACAUAGUUCAUCUCAUGCUUAGGAAGUAAGACAUUUAUCAGAAUUCUAAGAAGAGGCAGAUUUACAUAGUCAUAUGAAACUUUAUCAUGGAUAUUUGUCAGAAAAAUAUAAUGUAUAUAAAUAUAUAAAAUAGUGUAUAGAAAAAUGGUAUAGUAUAUAACAU